UUAAUUAUUGCCAGGUUGUGUAUUUUUGCAGGUCAAUUAUUUGGCACAAAUCUGAGUUAAAGACAAAGGAGAUUGUAUAUUUUAUUUGCUAAGAAUAGUUUUUUAAAAUGGCCUAGUUGUAAAAUUAAAUUAUGCAGGGAGAGGACAAAAAAUUGGAAUAGAAAAAAUGUUGAUUGCAUAUGCUGCUAUUGAAACUGUGAAGUCAAAUAAGCACGGCUUAUGCAGACAUGUGAUAGAUAGAGAGGAA
rnacentral:lncRNA from 1 species